CCUACGGGGGGCUGCAGUGGGGAAUAUUGGACAAUGGGCGAAAGCCUGAUCCAGCCAUGCCGCGUGUGUGAAGAAGGCCUUCGGGUUGUAAAGCACUUUCAGUGGGGAAGAAAGCCUUGGGGCUAAUACCCUCGAGGAAGGACAUCACCCACAGAAGAAGCACCGGCUAACUCCGUGCCAGCAGCCGCGGUAAUACGGAGGGUGCGAGCGUUAAUCGGAAUUACUGGGCGUAAAGCGCGCGUAGGCGGUCUGAUAAGCCGGUUGUGAAAGCCCCGGGCUCAACCUGGGAACGGCAUCCGGAACCGUCAGGCUAGAGUGCAGGAGAGGAAGGUAGAAUUCCCGGUGUAGCGGUGAAAUGCGUAGAGAUCGGGAGGAAUACCAGUGGCGAAGGCGGCCUUCUGGACUGACACUGACGCUGAGGUGCGAAAGCGUGGGUAGCAAACAGGAUUAGAUACCCGUGUAGUC
rnacentral:rRNA from 1 species